rnacentral:rRNA from 1 species
AUUGAACGCUGGCGGCAGGCUUAACACAUGCAAGUCGAGCGGAGAUGAGGUGCUUGCACCUUAUCUUAGCGGCGGACGGGUGAGUAAUGCUUAGGAAUCUGCCUAUUAGUGGGGGACAACAUUCCGAAAGGAAUGCUAAUACCGCAUACGUCCUACGGGAGAAAGCAAGGGAUCAUCGGACCUUGCGCUAAUAGAUGAGCCUAAGUCGGAUUAGCUAGUUGGUGGGGUAAAGGCCUACCAAGGCGACGAUCUGUAGCGGGUCUGAGAGGAUGAUCCGCCACACUGGGACUGAGACACGGCCCAGACUCCUACGGGAGGCAGCAGUGGGGAAUAGUGGACAAUGGGGGGAACCCUGAUCCAGCCAUGCCGCGUGUGUGAAGAAGGCCUUAUGGUUGUAAAGCACUUUAAGCGAGGAGGAGGCUACUGAGACUAAUACUCUUGGAUAGUGGACGUUACUCGCAGAAUAAGCACCGGCUAACUCUGUGCCAGCAGCCGCCGUAACAC